ACAUGCUUAAACCUUCAAAGAUUAUUAGAACACCUAAGGAAUUAGGGGCUGUAGUUUGAGAAGAGGGUCUUAAGUCAA
rnacentral:pre_miRNA from 1 species